UCUUCUUUUUUCAUAUAUCAACCUUUGGUCUGCUUUUAGUUUUGGUUCUUGGAUGAAAAUUCAGUAGGAUGUAGUAUGUGCAUCACAUAAAUGAGGCAUGAAAUUUUGUUCGUGUUUACUUCAGUUCAUCUGUGUAGUUUAUGACUUUACUAGAUGCAUGUAUUUCUAUGCACUGAAUAUUUUAUUUCCAUGAAGGCUCAUUUUUCCCUAGGUUUGACUAGCUUUCCAACUUAUUUUUGCUUUCUUUGCAUGUGAUAUACUCUAUUUUGUGUUCUGUAUGACCAAAUGAAAAAGUUAUUUAGAAAGCUCUAGAAUCAUUACUAUGUCAAAAUGAACUCUAGUUUGCAUUGAAAAAUUAAGCGGGGCAUAGUUUACAUCUGUUUCCUUAAGUGAAAAUAAGUACAUUCGGAGUGGUUUCAGCGUACUUAUAUGUUGUGUGUUAUGUGACCACUUGAGGAAGGUGUUUAGUAUCUUGGACUGCAUAAGCAGACACAGACUCACCAUUUAGUGGAUUAUGACUAAGCAAAUUUGCUUGAUGCUUGAAUGGAAAAAUUUGAUUAAUUUCUAUGCCAUGAAAGAAUUUCUUGAUUUUUCUGCAGAAACCAUUAUAUUCAACUAAAGAUCACUUCAUCUUAUUAGAUUCAUGGAUUGUUGGCCUUAAUUUUUUGACUUUAUGUUAUGUGAUAUAAUUCUAUUGAUGAAAAGCACAGUUAGCAUCUUGACCUCGUGUUCUCUCUCCAUCUCAUACUAUCAGAAUGGUAAAAUAUUUAGCCAUAGAAGUUGUUAGCCAGGUUAAAUUAUGGUUUUGUGCCCCCGAAUAAUAAAGCCAGAGUAUGGAGGGAUUUUGCAAGUGGGUGGUCUAGUUAGUGAAAAGGGAGUAGCACCAUCUUAUGUUAUGCUAUGAUUUUCAUUUAGUGUUGGGUGAUGUAAUUUGGGUAAUAACUGCUUUUGCGUGGAAUAAAUUUAAACCAGCCCAAGGUUGCAAAACUCAAACCCUAUUGCUAGGCCCAGCAUCAGCCUUAAGUUGAUAUUUUCUACCUUCAAAAUUCACUAAGUUUUUUUUUAGGGCCUUGUGUUGUGCCUUGGGAGGCAAUCUGUUGGGGGACAAUUGGGGGCACAAAAAAGCAAAUAAGAUGUUGACUCAAAAAUGGGAGGGCCACUUAGGGGAGAGGGCCACGUGGCUGAAGGGAGAAGAGAGAAAAUGGAAUAAAAAGGUAACUCUAGGUUAAGAAGAAAAGAAGGAUUGUUUGCUGAGAAUUCUGGGAAGGGAGAGUGUCUUGCCUCUCAGAAGCUAGACUAUUCUAGGGAAAGAUUUUGACCUCUCAAAUAGCUAGAAGUGGGAGUGUUAUAGUUUUUCUUUUUGUUUAUGGGGGAAUGUCCUUGUAAGAGCCUUGUUAUUCUUGUAACCACAGCCAACAUUCAAUAUAUAUUAGAACCGUCUUCUUCA